rnacentral:rRNA from 1 species
UGGAGUAUGUGGUUUAAUUCGAUGAUACGCGAAGAACCUUACCGGGGUUUGACAUGCAGGUGAUCGCCGUUGAAAGACGGUUUCCUCUUCGGAGGCACCUGCACAGGUGCUGCAUGGCUGUCGUCAGCUCGUGUCGUGAGAUGUUGGGUUAAGUCCCGCAACGAGCGCAACCCUUGUCAUUAGUUGCUACAUUUAGUUGGGCACUCUAAUGAGACUGCCGGUGACAAACCGGAGGAAGGUGGGGAUGACGUCAAGUCCUCAUGGCCCUUAUAGGUAGGGCUACACACGUCAUACAAUGGAUGGUACAAAGGGUCGCCAACCCGCGAGGGGGAGCCAAUCCCAUAAAACCAUUCGUAGUCCGGAUUGCAGUCUGCAACUCGACUGCGUGAAGUCGGAAUCGCUAGUAAUCGUGGAUCAGAAUGUCACGGUGAAUACGUUCCCGGGUCUU